UCUGGAUGGUAGUGUAUUGGACUACCAUGGCAAUGACGGGUGACGGAGAAUUAGGGUUCGAUUCCGGAGAGGGAGCCUGAGAAACGGCUACCCACAUCUAAGGAAGGCAGCAGGCGCGCAAAUUACCCAAUCCUAACUCAGGGGAGGUAGUGACAAGAAAUAACAAUGCGGGGGCUAUGUCUCGCAAUUGGAAUGAGAACAAUGUAAAAGCCUUAACGAGGAUCCACUGGAGGGCAAGUCUGGUGCCAGCAGCCGCGGUAAUACCAGCUCCAGCAGCGUAUAUUAAAGUUGUUGCAGUUAAAAGCUCGUAGUUGAAAUUCUGUACGGAACGACGUCUUCGGAUGAUCGAGCCGUGCAUCCGCCUGAGCAGCAUGCUGGUACUUUGUUGCCGGUAUGUGAUCAGGCACUUUACCCUUGAGCAAAUUAGAGUGUUCCAGGCAGGCGUCAGCCCUGAAUAGUCCAGCAUGGAAUAAUAGAAGAGGACUGAAAACCGCUGUUGGUGUUGUGGUAAUCAGUAAUGAUUAAUAGGGAUAGUUGGGGGCUAUUCGUAUUUAAUUGUCAGAGGUGAAAUUCUAUGAUUUAUUAAAGACGAACCUAUGCGAAAGCAUUUGCCAAGGAUGUUUUCAUUAAUCAAGAACGAAAGUUAAGGGAUCAAAGACGAUCAGAUACCGUC
rnacentral:rRNA from 1 species